rnacentral:rRNA from 1 species
UACGAAGGGGGCUAGCGUUGUUCGGAUUUACUGGGCGUAAAGCGCACGUAGGCGGACGCUUAAGUCAGGGGUGAAAUCCCGAGGCUCAACCUCGGAACUGCCUUUGAUACUGGGUGUCUUGAGUCCGGGAGAGGUGAGUGGAACUGCGAGUGUAGAGGUGAAAUUCGUAGAUAUUCGCAAGAACACCAGUGGCGAAGGCGGCUCACUGGCCCGGAACUGACGCUGAGGUGCGAAAGCGUGGGGAGCAAACAGG